GGAAAGGGGCCAAAGAAAGAUGGUGACUUGCGUUGCCUGCCGGUAGUUGUAGUUUUACUGGGCUUUCCUCGUCGUCUUCUCCACUCUGCAGCCCAAGCCAAAGAGUCUGAGAGACCACAUUUCCUAGGAUGCCGUGCGGUGCGUCCAGCUGCACUUCCUCCUUAGGCGGAGGGAAGGAUUCAGGGAAGCUUGGUUAAAAACAGAGUUAAAGGCAGUGGGAGUCCAAGGAGAGGGUCUGAAGUUCACGACUACUAGAAGGGGAGGGGAGUGGAAAGGAUCUCAGUGAAAAAGGUAUUAGAAUUAUUUCUGAAUUUAUCAGUCUCUCAUUUGUGCUUUGGGAAAGCAAAAAAGGCGAAAGGGGUCCUUGGCCAUCUUCUGCUGGAGCUUUUAGGGAGGAUGUGUGUCUGAGAGACCAGAUGUGCCGAGUUUGAAAUCCCAGAAGCCCAAGAGGAAAAGAACCACAGGGAGGAAAAGACUGUCCAAAGGCUUCUGGAGUCUUCUCUGCUCUAACCUUGGAAGGUUUUGAACAAUAUUUCUCAGAGGAUGGCCUUUCACUUACUCAUCUGUCCAGCAUGACUCAUCCCCAGGAGUGUUGAGUAAGUGAAAUUUUGCUGUAUUCAUGUUUUUGUGACUUAUAAAAUAUGAUGAUAAGGAGAGAACAUGAACUCUAGAGUCAGACAUGUUAGCUCGGACAUGAUGCUCUUGGCUUUGUCAUUUAGUAGUUGAGUAAUUUUGGGCAAGCUAACAUCUCUGGUCUUUCU
rnacentral:lncRNA from 1 species